UUCUUCACGCUGUAACUUCUCUCAUUCACUGAGGAGCUUUUACCUGGGCACCAAUACGCCAUUGCAGCGUCUGGUCUGCCAAACCCAAAGAAGAAGAAGAACUUGUGCCUUCUGUGAGGUGUAUGAGGCCUUUGUGGGGGACAUAGAGGCUGAGUGGACAGGUAAUAGUGGGACAGAGAGGAUGGACUUGUUAUAUGCUUCUAGAAUGCUUUCAAGUUGAACCUGGAGGAGGACUUCGCGGUGCUCGAGGCUCACAGAAUGACGUCCAGGUCCAGACAGUGAGUGACAGCGUGGAGGAUCGGGACAUCACUGUAGCCAGGAACACAGAGCUCUGAGGAGCAGUUAACCAAAGUACUCAUAAAUCCACCGGAGUUUAAAAUUCCAACACAGAAAAAGCGGAAGGGAACGGACCUCGGCGAAAAGACCUGCAUCCGGCGGAAUUUCCUGCGGCACCGGAGCAAUCCCGGAAGUGGAACGUCGAGGAUAUAGACUACCUGAACAAUGCUGAUCAAAAUGGUCAAAAAUUCAAGGUCACGUCUGGUCUUUAACCAGCCUAAGACCGCUCAUGUCACUCCACUUUUCAUUAUACUCCACUGGUUCCUUGUCGCUGCUCGCAUUAAAGGCCCUACACACCCAUGGUCCAACUUCACAGGUGUUUUCACUUUUUUGCCUGAUUAGACCGCACCUGAGGACCAUAGGCGUGUACAGGCUGUGCUUUAUUAACAUCUGCCUGAACAUUUGACCCGUUUUGUUGCAACUAUUAGGGUGGAAGAGGUCAAACCUUUGUCAUUGUUAUUGGUAAUUCCAAACCUCCACCCAACCUGAACCUGAGCACGUGUCUAAUUAGCCAGAAUACGUGAAAACUCCUGUUAGGGUGUGCUGGGCCAUUGAGUUUAGAUCCUCCUAGAGAGUGGCCACUAGCACGGCACCCUCCUACUGUACCUGAACUCCCUUAUUCAGGUUCAUGAGAGUUCUCGUUCACUACAAUAUGCAAAUGAUUGACUAUUAGUCCUAUUGUCACUGACACUGGAAAUCUGAAUCCAAACUUCUCCUCCAUGUGGUCCCUUGAGUUACCUAACUGAAGUCGGUCAGAAGAAUCCAUCUAUGUCUUCAAGAAUAGCUUGAAGACGUAACUCUCCUAGAAGUGCCUACUCGCUUAAUAGGCUCUUUGCUUUCUGUUUGAGAGAGGGAUGGAUGGAGAAGGAUGGGGAUAAAGAGAGAAACACUUGAAAGUAACUUCAUGCUUCUGUAGUUACUGUUAUCUGCAGCUGUUACGUUAUCAGUUUGUGUACGCCUACUUAUUCAGAGAGCACAAGAAUGAAACAAGUAGUCUAUUGGAGACCCAGAGUCAAGUGUGCCUGAAUAAUUUACUACAAUGUAACAAGGGUUAAACUAUACCUAAAAGGCAGUUGAUUGUUCACAAUCUUUAAUGAUAUUUGGAGUGUACAUAACGAUAAAGAAUGACCUUUUUCCCCCAAACUUCUCGAUGUAUACUCUAUAGUCCUCUGAGAACAUUUAUAGUUUCACACUGACUGUCCAUGGAUUCUUGCCAUGGUGAAACUGCUAGAAAAGA